rnacentral:rRNA from 1 species
AUGGCCGAAUGCUUCAAUAGGGUGCUCAAAGGUGCACGUGGAUUACCCGUGACGGCAAUAGUUCAAUACACAUUUGACAAGAUGAAUGCAUACUUUCUAAAGUACUCGAUGGAAACGGAUGCACAGAUAGUGGGUGAGAACUCGCGCAAGUACAAGUACAAGUUCCCACCCAAGGUUGAUGAAUGGUUGGUAUUUCAAUCACGGAAGGCGGACUCAGAAGAAGCUAUAUUAUAUGACAACGAAGAGUGGAAGUACGAAGUGAAAGAGCCAGGAGGAACCAUAAAUGAUGGCCGCCAACAUGGAGGUCGUGCUUUCAAGGUGUUGUUAACACAAUGUGAUUGCUCUUGCAGGAGACCAUUGUUGCUUCAUCUUCCAUGCUCACACUUGUAUACCGCUAGUCGCGUUAAGAAUGUGGACAUCAAUCACCCACGCACCGUGAGGGAGUCAGAGUUCUCAAUCAUGACGGUCAAGAAAACAUGGGCUCCCCGCUUUCACCCAUAUCUUGACCAAUCACAAUGACCGGAGUACCAUGGUGUUCAACUAUGGCCGGAUCCGGAGUUGAAGGUUGUUAAAUGGGGUAGACGUAAGACAAAGCGUCUUAGAGGCGACAUGGACGGAUGGGGCCAUGGUGGCCGCCGUGAAGCGGGCAACAACCAAUUCCAAGAGCCUCGUGAGAGCUCCCGUUGUGGGGAGUGCAAAGGUCAUGGCCACAACAAAAGAAAAUGUAUGAAACCAAGGAAAAGGUCCAAGAAAAAUGAUGCAAGCACAAGCCAACAAGGAGCUACAGAAGGAAGCCAACCAAGUGGUAGCCAACAAGUGCCAAGGCAACCAAGUGGUAGCUAA